UAAAUAAAAGCGCAGUAUCAAGUAGAAGUUGAUUCCGGUUGAGGAAAAGAAAGCGACUUCUCCAGCACUAGCACUUGCUUGAAUAAGUGCUUGCUAAGGAACCGGCAUAAUCAAAUUGCACGUCUGCUUCCCUUGUUGGGUCCAAUUGAACCCUUAGACAACACCCAAGCUUCCAUAAGAGUGCGAAGUGGAAGUACCUAACAGGGCCCUAUCUUAUUCAAGUCUCAUUUGGAGGGGAUUGCAGGAUUUGAUCCAUCGCCCCCGGUCCAAAGGACAAUAAAAAUAAUGGUACUUCACCUUCGAUUGGAUCUAGCUAUAAUCUACGUUUGGAAGAGUCUAAAGAUAUGGAGCUCAAAGGCAACAGCACGAAGGAACCUUUUGAUUGAGCAAGCAUGCGAAGCAAGCGACAGAGACCAAAUAGGCGAGAUUAGUUAAGGAAACGGGGUACUUCUGUGGCUAGAAGGCUUUUUUAUGAUUUUAAGGAAACCUUGAGGAGAUAUGCUUCAGGCUUAUCGAUUGUCACCCAU
rnacentral:lncRNA from 1 species